AUUUGAAUAGCUUAAUUUUAAAGCUCCACAUUGAAGCUGUGGUUAUGAUAGGCUUAUUAUCUUCAAAUA
rnacentral:tRNA from 1 species